UCUAACCAGACCUCUGAAACAGGAAGUAGGGCACAGUUCUUAUAGCCACCAGAGGGGAACUGCCCUAUAAACAGAGAACUCCCAAAAGGCUGGCUCCAGCCAAGGCCACUGGUGAGACAAGCCUGUGUUAUGUGCUUAUAUAAUGCACAGGCUUCACCCAGAGAUGGAACCAGCUCGAACUACCAACUGAUAAUGUCUCAAGCAGACAACAGGUGACCAAAUUAAGGAAAGAAACCAGGAUCCUGGCAGCCCAGGAAGCAGAGCCGGUCAUGACAACAUGCAGUUGAUGAUGUGGGGGGUGAAAGGCUGAGUAAGAGAUUGCAAUCUGCAGUGAGCCAAGCUGAAAGGCCCGGGCGGAUGUGAAGGCUGGUGGUAAGGAAAUGGGAAGCAGGCAGACAAGCUAACCCUGUGUCCACUGAAGGAGUGAGGUGGCCUUGAGCACAGCAGCAUCCCUGGGUCUUACGUUGGCAGGAAGUAGAAAGGGAAGAAGCCUAAAGGAAGUGAAAGUGGUGCUGGAUCUCCUGCUGGCAUUGCCUCCUCCUUCACACAGCAUCCCGGUUCUCCCUGCAGCCACCUGAUCUUCCCUUUGUCCCCUUCCUCACCACAGCCCCACCACCUUCACCACUCCAAGUUGAUGCUUCUCCUACAUCUGGCCAAGAUGCUACUCAGAGCUGGAUGAAAGCAAAAGUCACUGCUCUAAUACAAGAAAAGUCCCGGUUUUAGGUUUCAGAAACAGAAUUUUCCCGAAUGUUUAAAAUGGUGAAUGGUUCCAUAAAC
rnacentral:lncRNA from 1 species